GCAUAUUCUUUUUCUCACUGUAUUUAAUCAGAUCUCAUGCAGUUUUACAUCUUAAUCAUUCAGAACUUCAUACAGUGCUGAAAACUGUUAUUACGUACCCAGAACUUUUUGUACUUGUUCUAUAAUCAGAGUAUAAACCACGUAUCUCAAUAAAAAAAUAAUAGAAACCACCAUACCAUGAAAUCUGAUAAUCUCAGAAACCUA
rnacentral:lncRNA from 1 species